rnacentral:rRNA from 1 species
UACAGAGGGUGCAAGCGUUAAUCGGAAUUACUGGGCGUAAAGCGUGCGUAGACGGUUAUUUAAGUCAGGUGUGAAAGCCCCGGGCUCAACCUGGGAAUUGCAUUUGAGACUGAAUAGCUAGGGUGCGGAAGAGGGAAGCGGAAUUUCCGGUGUAGCAGUGAAAUGCGUAGAUAUCAGGAGGAAUACCGAUGGCGAAGGCAGGUCUCUGGGCUGACACUGACGCUCAUGCACGAAAGCGUGGGGAGCAAACAGG